GAUGAACGCUGGCGGCGUGCUUAACACAUGCAAGUCGAACGGAAAGGCCAGUGCUUGCACUGGUACUCGAGUGGCGAACGGGUGAGUAACACGUGGGUGAUCUGCCCUGCACUUCGGGAUAAGCCUGGGAAACUGGGUCUAAUACCGGAUAGGACAAUGGUUUGGAUGCCGUUGUGGAAAGUUUUUUCGGUGUGGGAUGAGCUCGCGGCCUAUCAGCUUGUUGGUGGGGUAAUGGCCUACCAAGGCGUCGACGGGUAGCCGGCCUGAGAGGGUGUACGGCCACAUUGGGACUGAGAUACGGCCCAGACUCCUACGGGAGGCAGAAGUGGGGAAUAUUGCACAAUGGGCGCAAGCCUGAUGCAGCGACGCCGCGUGGGGGAUGACGGCCUUCGGGUUGUAAACUCCUUUCGCUAGGGACGAAGCGUAUUUGUGACGGUACCUGGAGAAGAAGCACCGGCUAACUACGUG
rnacentral:rRNA from 1 species